ensembl:lncRNA
AGCUCUUCCCGAAAGGAGAACAGGCUGCUGAAUGAAGAACUCGAGCUAUGCUGCAGACAGGUAGGGACAGGCAAGGAGGAAAACUUCACACACUGAGGUUAGAGAGAAAGAGACGGAGAUAUUUAAGUAGCAUGUUGUGUGCCAAGUUUGUGGAGAAUGGGCUGGGUCCUGCUGUUUGACUGGAGUCCCUAGUAAGAGGUCAAAGAAGGGUGGGAAACUGGGAGUUAAAUCUAUGUGGUGCUAAGCUCUAUCCCCCUCUCCUGUUUGUGAGGAAGAAUGGUAUCACUUGCAAGGGCUCACAAAAUGGCUGUUAGCACGUCACAACUGAAAUCAGCUGCGAGGCAUGUGUCUGCCUCUUUCCACUCCCCUAUUCUUGAGUUCGACCCUGGGACAUCCCAUUUACUCCACCCUUUCUGGAUAUUUUUUUUUCCCCCUCUCAAGCUUUCUUCCCUCAUAUUCUGGCAAGCUCCCAAUGUUGAUGUGGCAGUCAGUUAGAUGAGUCUUUUCUGAAAAGAGAGAAAGAAAGAGAUAAAGUGAGGCAGUGACAAAGAGGAAUCUGAGUAACAGUCACUGCUGCCAUUGGCAUGAAAGCAUUUCUGAUGUUUGAUUUACUUUAUAAUGGUUUGACCAGGUGCACCAGUUCAUAUGGAUCUCAUUUAUUUUUCCAACACAUAGUGGACACAUACACAUAGGUGAAAACCAAGGCACAUGAAAUUAUAGUUGGAAAAAUAGAGAGAAAAGAUAUAAUGGAACAUGAGUACUCUGAUUAUUUUAGGAGGAGAAAGAUAAAAAUGUUAUGAGGGGAAAUGCCCCAGACCAUUCUGAUUUUUAAGCAGAUAAUUUCUCAGCAAUAAUAGCUGAAAUAAAAUGAAAUAAGCAAGUGCUUGGUGUCCGACUUUCACCAGAUGGUAAUACAGACAGUAAAUGAAUGCCAUACUUUAACAUAUGGUCAGAUAUUAGAAAAUUAUUGAAAACGAAUAAUCUGUAUAAUACUUUAGAUUAUAUUAUUGGUAUUAGUAACUUAGGGGGGCUUAGUGGUUAGCAUGUUUGCCUUGCACCUCCAGGGUUGGGGGUUCAAUCACAUGUUGGAACCUGGUGAUGCUCCACCACUGGCAUCUCUCAUUCACUCCUCCUUUCUCUUCACCUGUGACCUACAUUUAUGUUUACAUUUACUCAUUUUACAGAUGCUUUUAUACAAAUUUGCAAGUUAAGGGCUUUACUCAUGGGACCAACAGUGGCAGCUUGGCAGUAUCAGGAUUUGAACUCUCAAACUUUCGUUACAUGGACCUCUUUUAGGAAUGGUCCGGUAGAUCCAUUAGACAUUAGUGAAAAUAGUAGGUUUCAUUUUAAGUAAUCCACAUCAAUCCAUAUUUAUAGUUCAAUAUGUCAUACAUGUCAUUCACAUUUUCUUUAUUAUGAAUGCAUGUCAUUUGCAGCAGGUCAUAACAGCAAAUGGGUGCUCUACUAAGUACUAAAGAUGCUUGCCAUGGAGGGGUUGAAUAAUUUUGAAACUAGAGAAAUCAUUAUAAGUUGCAUUUUCAGUUGAAUUUGGG